UAGAACCUGAAACCCUGCACGUACAAGCUGUGGAAGCACAGUUCAUGUGUGACCUCUGACUUUGUGUAGAACGAGCAAAAGAGUUACGUUAAGUAGCAUGGUGAAGCACUUAAGGUGUGGAGCCGUAGCGAAAGCGAGUUUGAACUGAGCGUUCAGUUACUUGACGUAGACCCGAAACCGGGCGACCUACACAUGAGCAGGAUGAAGCGAAAGUAAAAUUUCGUGGAGGUCCGAACCCACGAGCGUUGAAAAGCUCGGGGAUGACUUGUGGGUAGCGGUGAAAUUCCAAUCGAGCCCGGAGAUAGCUGGUGCUCCCCGAAAUAGCUUUAGGGCUAGCCUCAAGGUGAGCGAUACGGAGGUAGAGCACUGAAUGUCCUAGGUGGUAUUGCACCUACCGAAGACUAGCAAACUCCGAAUGCCGUCAUCGUAUACUUGGGA
rnacentral:rRNA from 1 species